UUAAUAAAAAUCCCAAAUAUGCCAAAACAUCAAAUAUUAAAUUCCGUACAUCAUCAGUUUCUUUAGUUCAGUUCUUCCAUUUCCUCUGUCCCCUAUUUGUACCAGAGCUUGCGAAAGCCAUUGAAGAGCUAUAGUUUUUGCGUGUUUUUGGUCAAUUUUGUUUCUUUAUACAAUAUCUAAAUCCAUGUUUUCCCUUUCUCAAUAUUACUUUCUAGUUUGUAAUUUUGUUAAACCCUAAUUUGUUUGUUAAUUCAUAUAGGUGGUCCGGCGGUGUUAAGGGAGGCGAUAACAACGGCUUCAACGCAUCCUCUUAACGGGAGUUUCCAAAUGAAGAAAAAUGCCUUAAAUGCUUGACUCCUAGAUGGAAGGAAAAAGUUGUGCAAGGUGGUGAUGUGUCUUUUGGUGACGAAGACGAGGGUGUUGCUGAAAAGAAAACUCAAUUAGUAUUACGUCAUUUUCCUGUCAUUCCAAGGUUGCAAAGGAUGUUUGUCUCCUCGAAGUUAGCAAAGGACAAGCGAUGACAUAAAGAUGAAUGCUCAAAAGAUGAGAUUUGCUUACCCUGCCUUUAAGGGUGUCAUAGAUGAGAAAGUGUUGGAGCCUUUAAGGGAGCUCAGUUUAAUUUUCAAGCAAUUAUGCUCAAAAACUUUGAAGGUUUCCGACUUAGAGCGAAUGGAAUCAAAUAUCGCAAUCACCUUGUGCAAGUUAGAACGUAUAUUCGUUCCUGCAUUUUUUGAUGUGAUGAUACAUCUUCCAAUUCACUUGGCCACUGAAUCUAGGAUUGUCGGCCCAGUACAUUAUUGAUGGAUGUAUCGUUUUGAAAGGGCGAUGAGGACAUUUAAAUCAUCUGUACGGAACAAAGCUCACCCUGAAGCUUCAAUUGCUAAUGAGUACAUAGAAAUGGAAUGUCUAUUAUUUUGCUCAAGAUAUAUUUCUAAGAUUGAGACGCAAUUUAACCGUCUAGAUCGAAAUGACGAUAUCGAUCAUGAACAACUCCAUACCCUGUCCAUUUUUUCUAAAAUGGGCAAGUCUUUAGGGUAUAAAGCAGCUCGCUUUUGAUGAAUGGAAAGAAGAUCACCUUUAUGUUCUAAAAAAUUGUGAAGAAGCACAACCUUUCUUAGAUGAGUAUCUGAAUGAUACGAGUCUUCCAAAGAUUGACUUUUACAAGUGGUUUGAGAAUAAGGAAAAUGUCAAUAAUUCCAACUUCAUCAGAACAAGAUCAACAAGAAAAUGAGAUUCAACAACCACCACCAAGGUUGACUUAUCGUGAAAAGCGAAGGAUUGACCAAGCUGAGCUUCGAAAAAAAAUCCCUAAUCGUAAGAGGCGUGGCCCUAAAGGGGUUUAAAAUAUGCUUCCAAAAGAGAAAGAAAUCCAGAAGAAAAGAUUACGUUAACUUUUAUGGAUGAGCUUCGGCAUGUGGUUAGUGAAAAGGCAAAUGAGUUCAUAUAUGAUUGUAGCAAUUGGGUGGAAGAGUUUUGUCCUUUGAAUGCAUUGAAUUGGGCUAAAAUGGAUCCUGAUGCGAAGAAUAUUUUAUAUGACAAGAUUUUGGCAAAAUACAAUUUACCUGAAAAGAUUGGUGGUGCGGACGCGACUGAUGCAUUGAGCUUUCAAUGUUCUAUAUUAUAUAGGCAUUGGAGGUUUAGACUCAAAGAAAAAUACUAUAUAGGCAAAACAAAGGCAGAGGCUAGAGACAAUAGACCUUCAACUAUUGAUCCGAUACAGUGGGAUUGGCCAUUAGCAAAGUGAACACAACAAAUAAAUUGAAGUUAACUGAAACACCGGCUAAUGGUGCAAAGUCCACAGCAAGAAUUUUCUAUGAUAUGAUUAACGAGCCACCAAUUGUUGCCAAUCAAGUCGAAGGGUCAUCUGAACAUGCUGAAGUGCAACAAGAUCCCAUCUAUGUGAGAUUAUAUGAGAAGACAAAAAAGUAU